rnacentral:rRNA from 1 species
UACCGACGAUGCGUAGGGGUUCUGAGAGGAAGGUCCCCCCACACUGGUACUGAGACACGGACCAGACUCCUACGGGAGGCAGCAG